rfam:Glycine max cultivar Williams 82 chromosome 20, whole genome shotgun sequence.
AUCUUGAUCUACUGUUACGUGUCAUGUUUUGAUUGGAUAUCGAAUCCAUAAAAGAUGAAAUGCAUUAACUUGUCAUUGGUCAAUUAGAAUAAAACACAAUUAGAAUAAGACAUGUGACCGUCAUUAUCC